rnacentral:misc_RNA from 1 species
CUGGAAUCGCAAGACUCCAACACCCUGUGAACCUACCGGACGUUGCCUCGGCGGGCGUCGCGGCGCCGGGCCCUUAGCGGUCUGGCUCGCGGCGCGAGCCCGCCGGCGGCCUCUGACUCUGUCUCUAGCGCUGUAUCUCCGAGUCUACUGAAUUAGUUA